AAAGAGAUCUGCGAGAAUUGGCGAAAAAUGAUUUCUUGGAAUCCAAAGAAUUGGCUGAGGAAAGUGCAGUGGCAGCACCAAUUCCUUGUAUAAUAGCAGCCAUUUAGAAAAACCCACGAAUAAAAAUCGGUUCUUGAUUCAAACAAAACAAAGAAGAAAAAAAUGGAGAAUCAGAUUGAGAACUCAAGUGCCACCUAUAACCAUAUAUAUGAAGAAAAAAAUAUUAAGAAGGGGCGGAGAUAACAAAGUGUCGAAAGGUGUUUGAUAUGUUGGAUUGGGCGAUUUAA
rnacentral:lncRNA from 1 species